rnacentral:rRNA from 1 species
UACGUAGGUGGCAAGCGUUGUCCGGAUUUACUGGGCGUAAAGAGCGUGUAGGCGGCCAAACAGGUCAGCUGUGAAAACUCGAGGCUCAACCUCGAGACGUCGGUUGAAACCGUUUGGCUAGAGUCCGGAAGAGGAGAGUGGAAUUCCCGGUGUAGCGGUGAAAUGCGCAGAUAUCGGGAAGAACACCCGUGGCGAAGGCGGCUCUCUGGGACGGUACUGACGCUGAGACGCGAAAGCGUGGGGAGCGAACAGG